AUACUUACCUGGCGGGGGAGGCACCGUGAUCCUGACGGUGCGUUCCCAGGGUGAGGCUCCGCCAUCGCGCCCCAGAUGUGCGCACCCCUGAGAUGUCCCCAAAUGUGGGAAACUAGACUGCACCGUGUGUGGUAGGAAGGCCCUGUGUUUGCUCCCCUGGA